CAUGCGAGAGGCCGACCUUCGCAAAGAGCUAGGCGACCGCAGUCUCGACAAAACCGGCAACAAGGUUAUUCUCGUUGUGCGUUUUGCCAAGGAUUGUCUUUCACGCCGACGCGUGUGCGUCGUUCUGCACUUAUUUUGCAACUUCUCGUCAAGGCACUGGCUGUAGAGGGGAAAUCGAGUUGAAGGAGAGCGAUAUCAGGCGUUAGGAAGUACGAAAGGUGGAAAAACCACGUCGAGAACGAGAAGCAAAUAUCAGAGUAAUUAUCCGCAAAUUUGGGGACGCCGUUAUGUUGAUUUUGCUGUUUAGAAGACGCGGGCGGAGACAGUGGAAAGACAGAGAAGAGAUUACUCGGCUAAUGUGAAGAACCUGGUGCUGCUAGUGCAGAUGGACUGGCAGGAGACAAAGGUUUCCCAUAUGAAUGUGGACCACAUAGAACUCCAGGUCCAGCAGAACCGAUUGGACCAACCGAAAGUGACGAAAGUCGUGGAAAUCGUAGAGAAUUGGAGCACAGGGAGAUGGGUGAGCAGCAGGAGUGUCAGGACAAACUGGGCAUUGCAGGACUCGAGGGCCCAUAAGGUACAUGUGGUGGGCAUGGGCAACUCAGACCCCUCGGUCUACCAGAAAGAGUCAUGCAUCUGCUGCAUAUGUUGUUCCUGUACGAUCAACACGCAACAAAGGCCUUGCAACCUAUUAAAGGGAUACAGACAGAACAGAUGAAAAAGCUAACUUGGUGAAUAUGUGCGCAUGAAAAUGGUGUCUGGGUAUGCCAGGCCUGUCCUUGAGCUUGUGUUGCAGUCGGUUUGUGAUAAUAGUGCAAAUACUGAUGAGAUAGAUUAGAGUAUAACAAUUAUUGCUGUACUUGUAUUGUGAUAUAUACCAAUGACUGACAAGGAUGUAA